rnacentral:lncRNA from 1 species
GACGAACUUCCCUCCAGCUGGCCAAUUUUCUCCUGCGCAGCUGAUAGUUCCACCCUGAGAGAACUGAUCUUGGCAGCUUGAGCCCAGAUUCGAUUGCUGGCGCUCUUCUUGUGUUCCUCAAGCUCCCUCAUGAAGUCCGUCUUUCUCUGGCUGUACUCCAUGAUCCCCUUCACGUGGAGAUUCUGAAAGCGGGUGGCCUCCGAGGUGGCUUCAGAAUAACCCUUCCUUAAUCUGCGAAGCUCGCCUUCCAUCUUCUUCGACCCUUUUGUCAAAUAAAGAACUUCCUUCUUCAGCCGCU